AUCCUGGGGCUGUAGUCGGUCCCAAGGGUUGGGCUGUUCGCCCAUUAAAGCGGUACGCGAGCUGGGUUCAGAACGUCGUGAGACAGUUCGGUCCCUAUCCGUCGCGGGCGUAGGAAAUUUGAGAGGACCUGUCCUUAGUACGAGAGGACCGGGAUGGACAUACCUCUGGUGUACCAGUUGUGCCGCCAGGCGCAUCGCUGGGUAGCUACGUAUGGAUGUGAUAAACGCUGAAAGCAUCUAAGUGUGAAACACACCUCGAGAUGAGAUUUCCCAUUCCUUUAUGGAAGUAAGACCCCUGAAAGAUGAUCAGGUAGAUAGGUUAGAAGUGGCAGUGCGGUGACGCAUGAAGCGGACUAAUACUAAUCGGUCGAGGACUUAACCAAG
rnacentral:rRNA from 2 species